rnacentral:snRNA from 1 species
GUGCUCGCAUUGGUAGCACAAGUGCUAAAAUUGGACUGAUACAGAGAUUAGCAUGGCCCCUGCCCAGGAAUGACACACAAAUUCAUGAAGCCUUCCAUAUUUCU